AUUGAACGCUGGCGGCAGGCCUAACACAUGCAAGUCGAGCGGAUGAAGGGAGCUUGCUCCUGGAUUCAGCGGCGGACGGGUGAGUAAUGCCUAGGAAUCUGCCUGGUAGUGGGGGAUAACGUCCGGAAACGGGCGCUAAUACCGCAUACGUCCUGAGGGAGAAAGUGGGGGAUCUUCGGACCUCACGCUCUCAGAUGAGCCUAGGUCGGAUUAGCUAGUUGGUGGGGUAAAGGCCUACCAAGGCGACGAUCCGUAACUGGUCUGAGAGGAUGAUCAGUCACACUGGAACUGAGACACGGUCCAGACUCCUACGGGAGGCAGCAGUGGGGAAUAUUGGACAAUGGGCGAAAGCCUGAUCCAGCCAUGCCGCGUGUGGGAAGAAGGUCUUCGGAUUGUAAAGCACUUUAAGUUGGGAGGAAGGGCAGUAAGUUAAUAACUUGCUGUUUUGACGUUACCAACAGAAUAAGCACCGGCUAACUUCGUG
rnacentral:rRNA from 1 species